rnacentral:rRNA from 1 species
ACGAACGCUGGCGGCGUGCUUAACACAUGCAAGUCGAACGGUGAUCUCGGUGCUUGCACCGGGUGAUCAGUGGCGAACGGGUGAGUAACACGUGAGUAACCUGCCCCCGACUCUGGGAUAACCCCGGGAAAUCGGAGCUAAUACCGGAUACGAGACGCACACGCAUGUGUAGCGUCUGGAAAGAAUUUCGGUCGGGGAUGGACUCGCGGCCUAUCAGCUAGUUGGUGGGGUAACGGCCCACCAAGGCGACGACGGGUAGCCGUCCUGAGAGGGCGACCGGCCACACUGGGACUGAGACACGGCCCAGACUCCUACGGGAGGCAGCAGUGGGGAAUAUUGCACAAUGGGCGAAAGCCUGAUGCAGCGACGCCGCGUGGGGGAUGAAGGCCUUCGGGUUGUAAACCCCUUUCAGCAGGGAAGAAGCGAAAGUGACGGUACCUGCAGAAGAAGCGCCGGCUAACUAC